GACGAACGCUGGCGGCGUGCUUAACACAUGCAAGUCGAACGGAAAGGCCCUGCGUUUGUGGGGUGCUCGAGUGGCGAACGGGUGAGUAACACGUGAGUAACCUGCCCUUGACUUUGGGAUAACUUCAGGAAACUGGGGCUAAUACCGGAUAGGAGCUCCUGCUGCAUGGUGGGGGUUGGAAAGUUUCGGCGGUUGGGGAUGGACUCGCGGCUUAUCAGCUUGUUGGUGGGGUAGUGGCUUACCAAGGCUUUGACGGGUAGCCGGCCUGAGAGGGUGACCGGCCACAUUAGGACUGAGAUACGGCCCAGAAUCCUACGGGAGGCAGCAGUGGAGAGUAUUGCACAGUGGGCGGAAGCCUGAUGCAGCAACGCCGCGUGCGGGAUGACGGCCUUCGGGUUGUAAACCGCUUUCGACUGUGACGAAGCGUGAGUGACGGUAAUGGGUAAAGAAGCACCGGCUAACUACGUG
rnacentral:rRNA from 1 species